rnacentral:tRNA from 3 species
GGGCUACUAGUUCAUCGGUAGAACGCUUACCUGAUAAGUAAGAAGUACAUGGUUCGAUUCCAUGGUAGCCCACAA